UACAGAGGGUGCAAGCGUUAAUCGGAAUUAUUGGGCGUAAAGGGCAUGUAGGUGGUUUUAUAAGUUUGAUGUGAAAUCCCCGGGCUUAACCUGGGAAUUGCGUUGAAUACUGUAAGACUCGAGUCGGAGAGAGGGUAGUGGAAUUUCCGGUGUAGCGGUGAAAUGCGUAGAUAUCGGAAAGAACAUCAGUGGCGAAGGCGGCUACCUGGCUUCAGACUGACACUGAGGUGCGAAAGCGUGGGGAGCAAACAGG
rnacentral:rRNA from 1 species